rnacentral:lncRNA from 1 species
UGGCUGUGAGGUGGUUGCGAAUGCGAAAACGUUGAGUUUGUGAGUGGGGCAGGAGGGUAAAGCGUCGCGGUUUUGGUCGUCCUAAUUAGCGCGCCGUUGCGGUGCUUUGGCGGGUUGCCAAGUCACAGAGAAGGGGUUGCGUGGGAGGUGUGAAAGGAAACAACGGAUGGCAAGCUUGGAGUGCACCAUUGUGGAGUGUUCACUGGACCAUUUUGGGCGGACUUAUUGCGUGGGAGGUGUGAAAGGAAACAACGGAUGGCAAGCUUGGAGUGCACCAUUGUGGAGUGUUCACUGGACCAUUUUGGGCGGACUUAUCAGUCUUGUAUUGUAACGUCGUUUGUUUGGCAAGAAAACGUCCAUGGACCAGAGCCCAUAUAGCAUUUCU